rnacentral:rRNA from 1 species
AUUGAACGCUGGCGGCAUGCCUUACACAUGCAAGUCGAACGGCAGCAUGAUCUAGCUUGCUAGAUUGAUGGCGAGUGGCGACCGGGUGAGUAAUACAUCGGAACGUGCCCUGUAGUGGGGGAUAACUAGUCGAAAGAUUAGCUAAUACCGCAUACGACCUGAGGGUGAAAGUGGGGGACCGCAAGGCCUCAUGCUAUAGGAGCGGCCGAUGUCUGAUUAGCUAGUUGGUGGGGUAAAGGCCCACCAAGGCGACGAUCAGUAGCUGGUCUGAGAGGACGAUCAGCCACACUGGGACUGAGACACGGCCCAGACUCCUACGGGAGGCAGCAGUGGGGAAUUUUGGACAAUGGGGGCAACCCUGAUCCAGCAAUGCCGCGUGUGUGAAGAAGGCCUUCGGGUUGUAAAGCACUUUUGUCCGGAAAGAAAUCGCACUUACUAAUAUUAGGUGUGGAUGACGGUACCGGAAGAAUAAGGACCGGCUAACUACGUG